rnacentral:pre_miRNA from 1 species
UGGACAUAUUAUUGUAUUCGAUUGUAUUCACGGCGUGAAACAGGGGAUUACACUGUUUUUAAACGGAAAGUGAAUCAAUUAACAUAAUAGACUCCU